GCCAGGCUCUGUGGUAUGUGUCUGUAACCCCAUGCACUUGGGAGGCUGAAGCAGGAAGACUACUUGAGCUGAGGAAUUCAGGACAGGCCUGGGCUAUAUAGUGAGACCCUGACUCUA
rnacentral:sRNA from 1 species